rnacentral:rRNA from 1 species
UACGGAGGGGGUUAGCGUUGUUCAGAAUGACUGGGCGUAAAGCGCGCGUAGGCGGGCUGGAAAGUUGGGGGUGAAAUCCCGGGGCUCAACCCCGGAAUGGCCUUCAAAACUCCCAGCCUAGAGUUCGAGAGAGGUGAGUGGAAUUCCGAGUGUAGAGGUGAAAUUCGUAGAUAUUCGGAGGAACACCAGUGGCGAAGGCGGACUCACUGGCUCGACACUGACGCUGAGGUGCGAAGCGUGGGGAGCAA